UGCCUGGCGGCACUAGCGCGGUGGUCCCACCUGACCCCAUGCCGAACUCAGAAGUGAAACGCCGUAGCGCCGAUGGUAGUGUGGGGCCUCCCCAUGCGAGAGUAGGGAACUGCCAGGCAU
rnacentral:rRNA from 1 species